AGCAACAAACAUUUCCACCACAACAGCCAUAUCCGCAGCCGCAACCAUUUCCAGCACAACAACCAUAUCCGCAGCCGCAACUAUUUCCACAGCCGCAACCUUUUCCGCCACAACUUCCAUAUCCGCAGCCGCAACCAUUUCCCCCACAACAACCAUAUCCACAACCGCAAACACAGCAUCUGCAACCACAACAACCAAUUUCGCAGCAACAAGCACAACAACAACAACAACAACAACAACAACAACAAAUCCUUCAACAAAUUCUGCAACAACAACAACUGAUUCCAUGCAGGGAUGUCAUCGUCUUGCAACAACACAACAUAGCGCAUGAAAGCUCACAAGUAUUGCAGCAAAGUAGUUACCAAGUGUUGCAACAAUUAUGUUGUCAGCAGCUGCGGCAGAUCCCCGAGCAGUCGCGGUGCCAAGCCAUCAACAAUGUCGUUCAUGCUAUUAUUCUGCAUCAACAACAACAACAACAAGGACAACAUCAACAGUCGAGCCAGGUCUCCUACCAGCAGCCUCAGCAACAAUAUCCAUCAGGCCAGGGCUCCUUCCAGCCAUCUCAGCAAAAUCCACAGGCCCAGGGCUUUGUCCAACCUCAACAUCUGCCCCAACUCGAGGAAAUAAGUAACCUAGCGCUGCAGACGCUACCAGCAAUGUGCAAUGUCUACAUCCCUCCAUAUUGCUCGACCACCAU
rnacentral:lncRNA from 1 species